UACGAAGGGGGGCGAGCGUUUGUUCGGAUUUACUGGGCGUAAAGGGCGCGCAGGCGGCUUAUUUUGUCAGGCGUGAAAGCCCCGGGCUUAACCUGGGAACUGCGCUUGUAACUGAGAGGCUUGAGUGUGCCAGAGGGGGGUGGAAUUCCACGUGUAGCAGUGAAAUGCGUAGAGAUGUGGAGGAACACCGAUGGCGAAGGCAGCCCCCUGGGGUAAC
rnacentral:rRNA from 1 species